AAGAACAAAAAAAAAAGACCCCUCUUUCUUUCUCUUUUCUCUUUCCCUUUCCCUUUUCUCUUUCUCUUUCUCUUUCUCUUUCUCUUU
rnacentral:ribozyme from 13 species